rnacentral:tRNA from 2 species
GCGGAUGUAGCUCAACUGGGAGAGCGCCGGACGUAAUCCGGAGGUUGUGGGUUCGAGUCCCGUCGUCUGCACCA